rnacentral:misc_RNA from 1 species
GGAAGGAUCAUUAUUCUGCAUAAAAAAAACACUUUAGGUUAGCCAACUUCUUUCUUGGCUUUCCGUGGUUUGAGCACCAUGGCAAGUUGAGGAGGAGGAAAGCUGCCUAAUCUAUAAAUAUCUCUAACACAGUAUUUAUUUAAAUAAAGUGCGAGUGAAAAAAGCGAAAGCCUAUUCACUAUGCAAUUGUUUUUCUGCGGGAGGCCUACCGCGUGACCAAGUGGGCUAGGAAGUAAGAUUGGGGACCAGGGGGCAUAGUGUGAGUCAGGGGAGAAGGUACCCUCUCUUGUUUUGCACUGUGUUUUUCCUGGUGUUCGCUUAUUUCUCCUUCACGUUUAUCGGAUCGGAUUCGUAUUAUAAAGACCCAUUUGUCGGGCUUAACAACCUGGCGAAUGUAAAACUUUUUACAACUUAUAGCGGUGGAUUUCUCGGCUUGCGUAUCGAUGAAGAACGUAGCAAACUACGAUAAUUAGUGUGAAUUGCAAAAUACGUGAAUCAUCGAAUCUUUGAAUGCAUACUGCACCGGGGGUCUAACAACCCCUGGUCUAUCCGGUCGAGUGCCGAUUCUUCAUCACUUCCUUUCCAAUGAUAAAAAGUUGGUUUGGUUGUGGAUAUAUGAGGGUAGAGCUUACUUUUUUGUGAGCAUCUUCCCUUUAAAUACACAAAAUGGGUUCCAUCAACAGAGAGCGCUUACUCGCCUUUGGGAGGGGUGCUUUCUUAGUAGUGGGCAUCAAGCCCCCGGCAUGACUAGCUUCGUGUAUCAGCUAAGUCUGUUAGAAAAAUGCUGGGUGCGCAACUUUGGGGAAAACCGAGGAGGUUUUUUCUUCUGUUGUAACUGCUCUCUCACUUGUGGGAGGGUAGUUCGGCAGCAUGAGGUUGGGACGCUGUUCAAAGGCUUCGUGGGCACUUGAGCUUACCAAGAGCUUUUGGGAGUUUACCCGAUUCUCAUUUGAUGAUGGGGGAGCUUUGUGUGUCUUUUUCCUUUUUUUCUUAUUCGUGAGAGGGAGAGGCGAGAGGCAUUCAGGUUGUCACGUUUGAGAGUGGGAUUAGGGAGUCAUAAACUUUCGGAAGUAAGGACGGGGAGGUUCGGGGGUCUGUAGAGCUUGGGGAUGGAUGUUCUGGCUUUGUGGCUUUUCCCUUGUUGCAGUCUUCUUGCCUCACCUUAACGGGUGGGGUGAGAGAUUGUGAUGAGGGAGAAGGAGUUAGCACUUCUUUAUUUGGGGUCCUUUAGUUGUCUAAACAUAACGGGGGAAGGCAUUGCCUUCUUUCUUAACGGCCUCGGCUCGGGUAGGACUACCCGCUGAACUUAAGCAUAUUAGUAAGCGGAGGAAAAGAAAUUAACAAAGAUUCCCUCAGUAACUGCGAGUGAACUGGGAGGGAGCCCAGCCCUGAAUCGGGGGGGAUUCGUCCUCUACCGAAAUGUGGGGUUUGCCGUGAUUGGUCAGGCGUAAGGGUGGACUCGAAGUCAUCUUGGAACAGUGAGCCUUAGAGGGUGAUAGCCCCGUAAGGUUUGCCCAAGCGUCGGACCAGUUGCGGUUAGAGUCGAGUUGUUUGGGAGUACAACUCUAAAGGGUGAUAAAUUUCAUCCAAGGCUAAAUAUUAACGCAAGACCGAUAGCGCACAAGUACCGCGAGGGAAAGAUGCAAAGAACUCUGAAAAGAGAGUUCAAAGUACAUGAAACCGCUAUAAGGGAAAGCGGUGGUUAGGGCAUAUUCAUGCUGUUAGGGGUCUGUCUCUGGGAGUUCUGAGGCGUUUGUUGGGGCGUCGGCAACGGCGUUUCCAGCAGGCGUUUUUGGGAUUUCUAGGGGCGUAUUUCCUGGCAGUGUGUUCACCGAGUAUUUGAUCGUGAUGGCUUUGAAGAACCUGAAAGUCAGUCUUCGGGCUGAUGGAGGGUUUUAGAGGCCUAGUCAAGUACAGGGUUACGCAAGUAACUUGGGCAGCGCUCAGCGCUCAUGAAUGCUGUCCGCGUCGGUGAUUUUAACGUGCCAUACCCACUGACCCGUCUUGAAACACGGACCAAGGAGUCUAUCAGGCUUGCGAGUUCGAGAGCGUAAAAAACUCUAGGGCACAAUGAAAGUAAGAGGUGUGAUAUUCGUAAGAAUUGCAACACCGACCGGUCCAGGCCAUUCGUGGUCAGGAUCGAGUUGUAGCAGGUCUAAUAGAACCCGAAAGGUGGCGAACUAUGCCUGUACAGGAAGAAGCCAGGAGAAAUCCUGGUGGAAGUCCGUAGCGGUAUUGACGUGCAAAUCAUUCGUCAGAUGCAGGUAUAGCGGCGAAAGACCAAUCGAGCCGCCUAGUAGCUGGUUCCCUC